AUGAAAAGUUUGCUUUCACUAUCCUGUUCAGGACGCUCGUAUGGUGUGCCAUACCUGUCGGGUCUUUGCACGCUCUUGAUAAACAUGCAUUCUUUUUUGAGUAGGCUGUUGUGAUAUUAUAUGGUUGGCGGUAGCCGAGUCGUAAUCGGAAUUAUCGGAUAACAAUCGGUUGUUAAAUAAAUAGAGAUUCCUUAGUCUUAUCCUUUUCUGACUCUCCUUAAGAAAAUGGAAGUCGCCGAAAAUGCACUCCGAAGAACGCUGGCAAAUGGCUACAACUACAGGGAUCUGACAGUGGCGGAAAUCAUUAAUGUCAUUACUUCGUACAAGGAUCUCAAGCCUAUUAUGGGUUCAUAUGUGUUUAAUGAUGGCUCAAGCAGGGAAUUGAUGAGCCUGGCAGGGACUGUGCCAGUCAGCUACAGAGGGAAUACCUACAACAUCCCCAUCUGUGUGUGGCUGCUUGACACCUACCCCUAUAAUCCCCCCAUCUGCUUUGUGAAGCCCACCAGUACCAUGAUGAUCAAGCCUGGGACGCAUGUGGAUGCCGAUGGCAAAUUCUACCUGCCUUACCUGCACGAAUGGAAACCUCCCCAGUCAGACUUGUUAAACCUAAACCAGGUGAUGAUUUUGGUGUUUGGGGAAGAGCCACCUGUCUUUUCGCGACCCACCACACAAAAACCAUACCAGGCCUUCCAGACAGCAGGCCCAACUAGUGAACCUUCUAGCACAUCCUCAGUGAAUCACAGACAGACAGCUGCCAGAGGUUCCCUUGUUGGCACACUUCCUACCAUCUCCAAUGUGGAUGCAAAUGAAGCACAGUUGCUUGAGGAGGAACUCUCAUUAUGUGAGAUCCUGGAGACAUUCACCAUGAAGAACAAAGAAAGUGGUUCCACCCCAGUUGUGGUUCGCCGAAAAAGGGUGCUAAAGGAUGCCAUCGCUCUUUGAAAGAAGAGUUAUUUUUCCUAGAAGAGGACACCACAUGUGGAAUUUGUUGGGGAAGAGGCUGCCGAUUAUGGUGGACCCAUGAGAGAGUUUUUCAGGCUUUUAAUGAUCGAUGUGGCAUCAACCUAUGGCAUCUUUGAGGGUCUUCAAAGAUAAGGUCCUGUUCACUUAUGAUCUCUCAGCUCUGGAACAGGAGAAAUACAGGACAGCUGGGAUGUUCAUAGCCUAGUCUGUUCUCCACAAUGGACCAGGCAUCUGUGCCCUGCAUCCAGCACUAUUUCAGAUGAUGUGCACUCAAAAAGCAGACCUACAACACUUUGACUAUCAUGACCUCCCCGAUGGGAACGUUCAGGGCAAUCUACAAAAGAUUAAGCAGUGCUCUACAGAGAAGCAACUAUUGUCCCUGUGCAGUGAGCUAGGAGACUGGAUCUCAGAUUGUGGUGUUCCUGGAAUUUUUACUGCAAAAAUCAAAGACAUACCCACAGUUUUUACACAGGUUGUGAAGCAUUAUAUUUACUUCAGGUAAUAUGUACUUCUACUUCAUGUAUAUUUACUCCUGUAGUUGAUUAUCAUGGUGGGGGGCUUUUUUGUAAUGUUUACAUCAGGAGAAACAUUACAAAUCGACCACAAGUACUGAAUGAUUUGCUACAUCAGAGUCCGGAAGAAGAGACAGAUAUAACAUUGACAGUACAGUCAUUUUGUACAGUUUCUUUUCAGGUAUUGAGGUAAACAGACGCAGGUGUAUCUAUGUAAGAUCCUUUCCAUGUUGUCAGACAUUGAUAAUAACAUUUAUGAGCUUGCUAGUGGCAAAAAAAAAGGUUUACUAAAACGCUGAUUCUUGCGUCAUAGGAUUCCAUUGUAUAGCUGUUUUGCGGUUGCCGGUGUUAGCUUUCUAACUAAAUACCAAUACCAAUGGUGAUUAGGUGUCCCUAGUAAAAUUUUGGACCCAAAAAUAUCUAAAAAUAGGGCCCAGGUUAAUAAAUCCCAAAGUUUUCCUUGAAGUAUUUUCUCAUGCACUAAUCGUCUCCUACAUUCAUUUGGAAGUUACUUCUGCUUUACUCAGGACUGCUAGUGUGAUCCAACAGUUCAUUGAGGGGAUGAACACCUGUGGGAACUUGUGGCAUCAAGUUGAGAGGAACUGGAUAGCCUUCCUACCCAUCUUCACCAGCACAUCUCGAGAAAUGUCACUGCCUUCGUUUAAGGGCCUCUAUAAAAUCUCCUGGUCCCCACAAGGAAGCAACCAGAGAGAGAGGGAGGAAGAAACUAUGUUUGGAUGGGAAAUGUUCCUCAUCGCAAUCCAGGAAAAAGCCACAGAUGUGACUUUCAAGGACCUGCUGGUGUUCUGGACAGGCAUGCAUUCAGUGCCCUGUCUUGGGUUCCCAGGGGAGCCAGUCAUUGAGUUUUAUGAGCAGGAGGGUCCCUCACGGAUACCGUAUGCCUCCACCUGUUCACUGAGUCUCUUUCUGCCCAGAGGUGUGGAAGAGGAGGAGAUGAAUGCACUUCUUACCCGAGCUAUCAAGGAGUCGUCUGGUUUUGGGAGAGUUUAAGGACCCAUAGACUAGUUCAAAGGAAAACAGAAUGUUGAUAUUAAGCAUUGUUUGGUGAUAUUCAAAAAUUAUUUCUACAGUCAACACUAUAAAAGUCUAUAUAGUUUAUACUGAAAUGUACAAAAAAUAAUAAAAUAUACGCCUGGACUUUUGUCUUGUGUGUAAGUUUUAAA